GAUGAACGCUAGCGGCAGGCUUAACACAUGCAAGUCGAGGGGUAGAGGUUGCUUGCAACCUUGAGACCGGCGCACGGGUGCGUAACGCGUAUGCAACCUACCUUUUACAGAGGGAUAGCCCAGAGAAAUUUGGAUUAAUACCUCAUAGUAUAUAACCUUCGCAUGUUGGUUAUAUUAAAGUUCCAACGGUAAAAGAUGGGCAUGCGUCCUAUUAGCUAGAUGGUAAGGUAACGGCUUACCAUGGCAACGAUAGGUAGGGGUCCUGAGAGGGAGAUCCCCCACACUGGUACUGAGACACGGACCAGACUCCUACGGGAGGCAGCAGUGAGGAAUAUUGGACAAUGGGCGCAAGCCUGAUCCAGCCAUGCCGCGUGCAGGAAGAAGCAUCUAUGGUGUGUAAACUGCUUUUGUACAGGAAGAAACACCCCGACGUGUCGGGGCUUGACGGUACUGUAAGAAUAAGGAUCGGCUAACUCCGUGCCAGCCGCCGCCGUAA
rnacentral:rRNA from 1 species